AAUGUCAUAGGCAAUGGUGCAAACAUGAAUGGAGUACCAUCAAUGCCUUUACGGUUCUUCAUGCCCUUGUUAGACCUUUCGAGUACUCUUUGAAUCCUAAAGUUGCUAAGGAGCCAGUAUCGCCGCAACUGGAACUAAUUGCAAAAGCAAUUCUUGCACCUUUGCUGACAGUGUUGCAUCAUUUCGUUGAAAAGGCUACAGCUACCUAUAGUAAAAAAGAGUUGGAAAUUGAGAA